UAACCAUCUGCUGACGGCCAAGCGUUCAUAGCAACGUCGCUUUUUGAUCCUUCGAUGUCGGCUCUUCCUAUCAUUGUGAAGCAGAAUUCACCAAGCGUUGGAUGGUUCACCCACUAAUAGGGAACGUGAGCUGGGAUUAGACCGUCGUGAGAAAAGAA
rnacentral:ncRNA from 1 species